rnacentral:piRNA from 1 species
CACACAGAGUUGAAACGGAGAGAGAGUC